CCUACGGGAGGCAGCAGUGGGGAAUAUUGCACAAUGGGGGAAACCCUGAUGCAGCGACGCCGCGUGAGUGAAGAAGUAUUUCGGUAUGUAAAGCUCUAUCAGCAGGGAAGAAGAAAGACGGUACCUGACUAAGAAGCCCCGGCUAACUACGUGCCAGCAGCCGCGGUAAUACGUAGGGGGCAAGCGUUAUCCGGAUUUACUGGGUGUAAAGGGAGCGUAGACGGGUGGGGAAGUCUGAGGUGAAAGCCCAGGGCUCAACCCUGGGACUGCUUUGGAAACUGUGGAGCUUGAGUGCUGGAGAGGUAAGCGGAAUUCGUGGUGUAGCGGUGAAAUGCGUAGAUAUUAGGAAGAACACCAGUGGCGAAGGCGGAUUACUGGACUGUAACUGACGUUGAGGCUCGAAAGCGUGGGGAGCAAACAGGAUUAGAUACCCCAGUAGUC
rnacentral:rRNA from 1 species